rnacentral:rRNA from 1 species
AAUAUCAAAGGUGAGCCAGUACAGGAUGGACCCGCGUCUGAUUAGCUAGUUGGUAAGGUAACGGCUUACCAAGGCGACGAUCAGUAGCCGACCUGCGAGGGUGAUCGGCCACAUUGGAACUGAGACACGGUCCAAACUCCUACGGGAGGCAGCAGUGGGGAAUAUUGCACAAUGGGCGAAAGCCUGAUGCAGCAACGCCGCGUGAGUGAUGAAGGCCUUCGGG